rnacentral:tRNA from 1 species
GGGUUGUUAGUUUAAUGGAUAAAAUCGUCGACUACGAAUCGGCAGAUGAAAGUUCGAUUCUUUCACGACCUA